rnacentral:tRNA from 3 species
GAAGGGAUUCAAUAGAACUGCUAACUCUCGCACCUGAAAUUAAAACCUCAGACCCUUCA